GGGUUGUGAGGUUAAGCGACUAAGCGUACACGGUGGAUGCCCUGGCAGUCAGAGGCGAUGAAGGGCGUGCUAAUCUGCGAUAAGCGCCGGUAAGGUGAUAUGAACCGUUAUAACCGGCGAUACCCGAAUGGGGAAACCCAGUGUGAUUCGUCACACUAUCAUUAACUGAAUCCAUAGGUUAAUGAGGCGAACCGGGGGAACUGAAACAUCUAAGUACCCCGAGGAAAAGAAAUCAACCGAGAUUCCCCCAGUAGCGGCGAGCGAACGGGGAGGAGCCCAGAGCCUGAAUCAGCAUGUGUGUUAGUGGAAGCGUCUGGAAAGGCGCGCGAUACAGGGUGACAGCCCCGUACACAAAAGCGCAUGUGCUGUGAGCUCGAUGAGUAGGGCGGGACACGUGGUAUCCUGUCUGAAUAUGGGGGGACCAUCCUCCAAGGCUAAAUACUCCUGACUGACCGAUAGUGAACCAGUACCGUGAGGGAAAGGCGAAAAGAACCCCGGCGAGGGGAGUGAAAAAGAACCUGAAACCGUGUACGUACAAGCAGUGGGAGCACCCUUUGGGUGUGACUGCGUACCUUUUGUAUAAUGGGUCAGCGACUUAUAUUCUGUAGCAAGGUUAACCGAAUAGGGGAGCCGGAGGGAAACCGAGUCUUAACCGGGCGUUAAGUUGCAGGGUAUAGACCCGAAACCCGGUGAUCUAGCCAUGGGCAGGUUGAAGGUUGGGUAACACUAACUGGAGGACCGAACCGACUAAUGUUGAAAAAUUAGCGGAUGACCUGUGGCUGGGGGUGAAAGGCCAAUCAAACCGGGAGAUAGCUGGUUCUCCCCGAAAGCUAUUUAGGUAGCGCCUCGUGAAUUCAUCUCCGGGGGUAGAGCACUGUUUCGGCUAGGGGGCCAUCCCGGCUUACCAACCCGAUGCAAACUGCGAAUACCGGAGAAUGUUAUCACGGGAGACACACGGCGGGUGCUAACGUCCGUCGUGAAGAGGGAAACAACCCAGACCGCCAGCUAAGGUCCCAAAGUCAUGGUUAAGUGGGAAACGAUGUGGGAAGGCCCAGACAGCCAGGAUGUUGGCUUAGAAGCAGCCAUCAUUUAAAGAAAGCGUAAUAGCUCACUGGUCGAGUCGGCCUGCGCGGAAGAU
rnacentral:rRNA from 1 species